GCCUAGGGUAAACCUUGACUAGGUUACGCUAGGUUAUUUACCGCGUGACGUAUACGUAAACGCUUCCAGCUGGGGCCUUAAUUUAAGUGGUCCCCCCCGGCCCAAAAUCACGGGGAUCGUAAACUCGGACAAAGGAUCGAGGCGGGCGCAGCUGAUCCGGUCAGCUUGUUAUUAAUACUGUUGUCUGAAUUGCGAACGAAUCAGAUAUCGGAGGCGCAAAAAAUAUUUUUUUUCAUUAUCCUUAAACUCGAUUGCGACGAUUAAUUAAUCGUAGCGUACCUGUAUACGAGCAACGCGUGUGGAAGUAGACGGGGAAGAAAAAGAAAAAGAAAAAGAAAAAGAAAAAGAAAAAGAAAAAGAAAAAGAAAAAGAAGAAGAAAAGGUUAUUCAUGUGAAUUAAUAAAUUUCCGCGAUAUCGGUACAGAAAAUAACAACUCUGCGUAUAAUUUCAUUUUACGGCCAUCGCGAUCACCGUGAGAUUAUGUGUCGGAUAUAAAUCGGUUUCUUUUUAUAUAUAUAUAAACGAUAUUGUUAUACCUGCCAAGAGAGAAUUGCUGCCGAGUUACGGUUCGUUACUCGUCCCGAACACCGUGAAAACUCGAUUCUCUCUCUAGCUUCUAUACCCAGCGCUUCGUCGUUAAUAUUUUCAAUAUAUCGUUUACCCCCCCUGCGGCGGUACACCGUGGUGCCACAAUUUUCACGGCGUGAUUAAAAGCGCUCUUUUCUUCGUCUCCGUCGACUGUGACAUCGCGUACGUGCGAAUCGCGCGACACUAAAUUUCUCGGGGCGGUCCAUGAGGAGGAAAUCGUCGGAAUCGAGACCGAUCGAUUCCUCAGAUUUUCACGAAAGAGUUAAAACGGUCGCAGAGCACGGGGUUCGUACAGUCACGAAUACCGCGUCACGACGCCGGCCCACGCCGUCCAACGAUACAAUCAUUACGUACGUGAAGGUAUGACGCAUUGCCGACGGACUCUCCUCCUUACAUACAUUCUAAACGCGAUGUGUAGUAGCGGGUCUAACGUGGAUGCACAAUGGCUGCUGUAACUUUGAAAAAUAAAAUGAAAAAUUGAAUGGUGAAAAAA